GUAGGUUGACUGUCGGGACAAGCCCAGGGAUGGCAUUGUUUCUAUUUGCUGAUAAAUGACUCUGGGGCUGUGAAGACUCAGACCCAAGGAGUGACUCAGAAAGUCAGGGGCCCAUGUCAUUCUGCUCUGGGUUCAGACGUGCACUGCAGCAGCACCGGGACUUGACAGCCCUACGGCUCGAUCAGCUUUCUGUUUUCAUUGCCUUACGAUGCCAUGAGUGGAACUAUUGUCAAAUCAGAGUUCACUCCCCAGCUUUUCAGUCUUUCCCCUAAUUCUUGCUCUAUCAGAGGUCGAGGACAACAGUAUAAUGAUUCAUAGGUUCUACUUCCUGGCAAGUAAUCAUUUUCCCACGGGCCCUUGUGAAUUGAUGAAUAUGAAGACACUAAGAAAGCAGAAAUAGAACUGAGAAGAAUGAAAUAACUGUCUCUACCUUUCUCGAAUUGUCUAAUAUGGAAAGAAUGAAAGACAGCUAAUAAGCAACUCUCUGCAAGAAGACAUAUGGCUUAGAAUCUACUUGGAGAGAGUCAAACACAGAAUCCCUUUGAAUUUAAUGGCCAUUCCAGGUGAUUUGAACAGCCAAAUAAGAAACAGGUCCUCUUCAAUGUACAAUCUGCCAAGUAUGAAGUCUGAAUGACCAUCAUUAUUAUGUAUUUAAUGUGCAUAGAAAAUCUAUCUGCAACCUUCCAGAGUGUACCAGAAGUUUGGAAUGUACAUUAUUAUUGGCUCCAUCUCAAACCACUCAUAAAUCAAAGAAAAUAGCAGUUCCAGAGGAAUCAUCAUAGAGGCUUCUAGGCCCCCAUGCUGUGUGAACCUGGUGAGAAAGGGAAGUCUGCUCUCACUGGACACUGGAACUGUUUGUCUCUGUCUCUGCUGUACUUUCCCUGCCUCUACCUCACUUAGUAAAGAAAUCAUCUUUGCUUGAUAACUAAAACAACCAAUAAGGCUGAGAAAGGGGAAAACCCACAUCUGGAUUUAAAUACAAGGUAUUGGGCCAGCUGCUGGGGAUUAAACUUUGAACAAAACAGAUAGAAUCUAUGUCCUCAUGGGAGUGGCUAAUGGGAGAGUCGGAACAAAAAAAUAGCCAAGGAUAAUCCAGCAAAUGAUUUGGUGAAUGCUAUCAAAGAGAGAAAUACACAUGCUCUGGGAACACCAAGAAUAAACGAGAGAAAGGGACAUUAAUAUAUAUUGAAUAUCUGCUGUGUCAGGCACCUUACAUAUAUUGAUUGCUUCUUCACUUCUUUUAAUCUUUACUACACCACAUGAGGCUGUCAUAGAGAUUCUGAGG
rnacentral:lncRNA from 1 species